UUUUUUUUGAAAUCCAGGAGGUUCUGGGCCAAAGCCCGUAAUCUCCCCUAGGCCCGAAACCACAUCAUGUAAUAUUAGUUUCGUCCCAAGCGUUACUCGAACUGCCGACCUCUAAGCUUCGCCUAGGGUCUUUACCAAUUGAGCUAACGACACUUAGUCACGCUUAACUGCGGAGUUCUGAUGGGAUCCGGUGCAUUAGUGCUGAUAUGAUCGCAUCCCAUCUUUUCUUUUACCUUGAUGAUCGCAAUGUAUUCCUUUUGUUUAUUGUCUUCUGGAUACAAUAGCACAAAGUCUUUCUACAAAACAGAAAAGAAAAAUCU
rnacentral:sRNA from 1 species